rnacentral:rRNA from 1 species
GUGGGGAAUUUUGGACAAUGGGGGCAACCCUGAUCCAGCCAUGCCGCGUGCGGGAAGAAGGCCUUCGGGUUGUAAACCGCUUUUGUCAGGGAAGAAAUCCUUUGGGUUAAUACCUCGGAGGGAUGACGGUACCUGAAGAAUAAGCACCGGCUAACUACGUGCCAGCAGCCGCGGUAAUACGUAGGGUGCGAGCGGUAAUCGGAAUUACUGGGCGUAAAGCGUGCGCAGGCGGUGUUGUAAGAUCGAUGUGAAAUCCCCGGGCUCAACCUGGGAACUGCAUUGGUGACUGCAAGGCUAGAGUGCGGCAGAGGGGGAUGGAAUUCCGCGUGUAGCAGUGAAAUGCGUAGAGAUCUGGAGGAAUACCGAUGGCGAAGGCAGCCAUCUGGCCUAAUACUGACACUGAGGUGCGAAAGCAUGGGGAGCAAACAGGAUUAGAUACCCCGGUAGUCC